UACGAAGGGGGCUAGCGUUGUUCGGAUUUACUGGGCGUAAAGCGCACGUAGGCGGAUCGAUCAGUCAGGGGUGAAAUCCCAGAGCUCAACUCUGGAACUGCCUUUGAUACUGUCGAUCUGGAGUAUGGAAGAGGUGAGUGGAAUUCCGAGUGUAGAGGUGAAAUUCGUAGAUAUUCGGAGGAACACCAGUGGCGAAGGCGGCGUCACUGGUCCAUACUGACGCUGAGGUGCGAAAGCGUGGGGAGCAAACAGG
rnacentral:rRNA from 1 species